rnacentral:rRNA from 1 species
CCUACGGGUGGCAGCAGUGAGGAAUAUUGGUCAAUGGGCGCGAGCCUGAACCCGCCAAGUCGCGUUAGGUAAGACGGUCCUAUGGAUUGUCAACCUCUUUUGUCGGGGAGCAAGAGACGCCACGCGUGGCGUUCCGAGAGUACCCGAAGAAAAAGCAUCUGCUCACUCCGAGCCAGCAGCCGCGGUGAGACGGAGGAUGCGAGCGUUAUCCGGAUUUAUGGGGUUUAAAGGGUGCGCAGGCGGAAGAUCAAGUCAGCGGUAAAAUUGAGAGGCUCAACCUCUUCGAGCCGUUGAAACUGGUUUUCUGGAGUGAGCGAGAAGGAUGCGGAAUGCGUGGUGGAGCGGUGAAAUGCAUAGAUAUCACGCAGAACUCCGAUUGCGAAGGCAGCAUACCGGCGCUCAACUGACGCUCAUGCACGAAAGUGUGGGUAUCGAACAGGAUUAGAUACCCGUGUAGUC